GAGGAGAGACGGGCGGGAGGAGCGGGAGGAGGAGGAGGAGGAGGAAAGAAGCAGCAGCAGCAGCAGGAGGAGGAGGAGCCCCGCUCAGGCGCCCGGGACUCACUGAGGCUGGACAACACUUCUGAGACCAUCGUGUCCAGUAUUUGACCGAUCACCACCUUGUCGACCAGCCCAGAGCACUGAGGGCCACAUCGAGUCGUUCCUUGACGUGAUGAGGAAGGAAGCACCUAAGAUGGUUCUUAUAGCCUUGAUCUCCAAGGAUUUCCCAACAUGAUUCAGCUCAAUCUUCAAAGAGGUGAAGAAGGUUUGGCAGCAGUUUGCAGUCAGAGGAACAGGCCUGUUGCAGUGCAGAACCAGCAGAGACCAGGAGUCCUGAACGUCAAUCCCUGUGGGGCACAUGUUGGACAAGUGCAGUAUUGAGGAACCAGUGAGGCAGAACUGCCUUUGGAGACAUUUAGAAGAACAAUACCCAAGAAAUCUUUGUGUAAAGAGCAGACCAGGCAGCUGAAGAGACGCCACAGGAUUUCAGAGGAUCACCACAUCUUUGCAAGUCCUUCAGCUGAACAAGCCUACCUUUUGAACAGUUGAAUCCAGGCUUGAUACAUCAACCAAACUUCAGAGGAGUUGUUCUUGCCUCACACCAAUGUUGAGACGAAAGAGAAGCAAGUUAUUCAUGUUUUGAUGUUGUUUUGUGCCAGAUGUUUUGCUGGUAGAAAUCCAUAGCUCCACAGGCACCCAUUUCUUCAGGAUCUGGAAUGUCUGACACAAUUUCUGUCUCCAUUCUGGACGGUCUGUGAAGGAAGCUGCUUUAUUUUGCAAUAUUGAAUAUUCAUGCUGGGAAGUUAUAAGGAAAAACAAAAUAAUGAGAGACGGGGUCUCUAAUAAGCUUCCUGUCACAUGAGGCUCUGGUUCUGGUGAAGCAGAUGUGGUUGCUGACUUGUUUCCAAAAUGUUUGUUGAGUGGUGAUUAGAUUCUGUCAUACUGAUGUUAUAUCUCUGUGAUCUCAUUCAAUACAAGUAGUUCUGCAAACAGUAAAAUAUUUUUUUCCUAUGGAUUUA